CAAUAGCGUAUAUUAAAGUUGUUGCAGUUAAAAGCUCGUAGUUGGAUUUGUGGCGUUCGGUGGGUUCCGGGCACUUGUUGUCUGAGUAAUCCGCUGAUGCCAUCCUUGGGUGGAACCUGUGUGGCAUUAGGUUGUCGUGCAGGGGAUGCCCAUCAUUUACUGUGAAAAAUUAGAGUGUUCAAAGCAGGCUUAUGCCGUUGAAUAUAUUAGCAUGGAAUAAUAAGAUAGGACUUUUUUGUCUAUUUUGUUUGGUUUGGUCGCAAAGAAGGUAAUAGAUUAAUUAAGGGACGAGUUGGGGGGUUAGGUUCGUUAUUCCUACUUGUUCAGAAGGUGGAAAUUACUUUGGUAUUUCUUGGAAGGAACGAACUAACUGCGAAAGACAUUUACCUAAGG
rnacentral:rRNA from 1 species